AUUCAUUACACGGAGCAAUAAUGAUCCCAUGGCUGAAUUUGGUGCCCUUGUUGGUGCUCAUUCAAGGCGUCCAGUCUCAAGUACAGUUGGUGGAGUCCGGAGGGAAUGUGAGAAGCCCUGAAGGGUCUCGCCGUCUCUCCUGCCAAGCCUCUGGAUUCAACUUCGGUAGCUACUGGAUGCACUGGGUGAGACAGACUCCACAGAAAAGACUGGAAUGGGUUUCAAAUAUACAUCCAAGUUCAUCUAUCAGCUACUACACUGAGAAAGUGAAGAGACGCUUCACCAUCUCCAGGGACAAUGCCAAAAGCCAGCUGUAUCUGCAAAUGAGCAAUCUGAAACCAGAGGACACAGCGGUUUAUUACUGUGCGAGAGACACAGUGAGAGGAAGUGAAUCUGAUGCCAAGCAAAAACCUUCUCCUCCUCUGAGCAGCUUUCCAAAGUGA